rnacentral:rRNA from 1 species
AUUGAACGCUGGCGGCAGGCCUAACACAUGCAAGUAGAACGAGUGGCGGACGGGUGAGGAAUGGCUGGGAAAUUGCCCGAUGGAGGGGGAUAACUACUGGAAACGGUAGCUAAUACAGCCUACCAGCGGAGGAGCCCAGAUGGGAUUAGAUAGUGGGUGGGGUAAUGGCACACCUAGGCGACGAUCCCUAGCUGGUCUGAGAGGAUGACCAGCCACCCUGGAACUGAGACACGGUCCAGACUCCUACGGGAGGCAGCAGUGGGGAAUAUUGCACAAUGGGCGCAAGCCUGAUGCAGCCAUGCCGCGUGUAUGAAGAAGGCCUUCGGGUUGUAAAGUACUUUCAGCGAGGAGGCGUUACUCGCAGAAGACGCACCGGCUAACUCCGUGCCAGCCGCCGCGGUAAUAC